GGAUGAUUUUGGAGAGUUCAAGGAAGGAUUUUCACCAAAAAAUACUAGAUUUGGAGCACUCGGAAGUUGGGUCGAGAGGCAAGCGUGUUACAGAGUAGCUUUUCGGGCUAGUUCGAGAUUCAGGCAUUGCUGGUUCCGCUCCUGAGUGCU